GGAGGCAGCAGUGGGGAAUAUUGGACAAUGGGCGAAAGCCUGAUCCAGCCAUGCCGCGUGAGUGAUGAAGGCCCUAGGGUUGUAAAGCUCUUUUGUGCGGGAAGAUAAUGACGGUACCGCAAGAAUAAGCCCCGGCUAACUUCGUGCCAGCAGCCGCGGUA
rnacentral:rRNA from 1 species